rnacentral:rRNA from 1 species
AGGGUUUGAUCCUGGCUCAGAACGAACGCUAGCGGCGGGCUUAACACAUGCAAGUCGAACGAGAACGUCUCUUCGGAGAUUAUUAAAGUGGCGCACGGGUGAGUAACACGUAGGUAACGUGCCCUGGAGCGGGGGACAACGGGCCGAAAGGCCCGCUAAUACCGCAUAAGACUCCGGUCCCUUUGGGGACGGAAGUAAAAGGUGGGGAUCCUUCGGGACCUGCCACUCCAGGAUCGGCCUGCGGCCCAUUAGCUUGUUGGUGAGGUAACGGCUCACCAAGGCAAUGAUGGGUAGCUGGUCUGAGAGGACGAUCAGCCACACUGGAACUGAGACACGGUCCAGACUCCUACGGGAGGCAGCAGUGGGGAAUAUCGCGCAAUGGGCGAAAGCCUGACGCAGCUACGCCGCGUGAGUGACGAAGGCCUUCGGGUUGUAAAGCUCUGUCGGGAGGGAAGUAAAGCUCUGGGUUAAUAACCUAAAGCCAUGACGGUACCUCGCAAGAAAGCACCGGCUAACUCCGUGCCAGCAGCCGCGGUAAUACGGAGGGUGCAAGCGUUGUUCGGAAUCACUGGGCGUAAAGCGUGUGUAGGCGGUCAGGUCAGUCGGAUGUGAAAGCCCUGGGCUCAACC